GAAGAAGCCAAAAGACAGGACACAUAAAGUGGUGGGGUUGUCGGUCAGAGAGAUUCUGGGGAGAGGGAAGAAAAUAUCUGGUCUUCUUCUUCCCCGACGAGAAGUUCUUCCUCAUAACCUCCAUUGUCCCGACCUUGCGACGGAUUUGGGUUUCGCGUUUCUCGAUUCUUCCGUAACUUUGAAUAGAAGUGUACAGGUUCUUCCUCCUCGCUUUUCUCGAUUCUGUCGCAAGUACAAUUCUACUGGAGAGGCAUGGAAGUAAUAGAAGUACCAUCUAGAUUUAUUGUCCCUCCGGAAGAAUCUUCGUCAGAAUGCAGCGCUGCUCCAUGCAUAAACAGAUCGCGAGGACGGAGUAGCGCUGGUAGAGCCAAGGAUAUUCCAUAGUAUGCGGGCGAAGCUUCAAUAGCAGAGUGGACUGAAAUUGGUGCUUCAGGUUCGGUAGACGAUGCAGAUGAUGUUGGGUUUACUGCAACGUCUCGAAGGAAAAAGUUUGAUGCUGGACCAGAAGCACGUGUUUCUGUGCCUGGUAGACCUUGUCCUCUUGAGAAUGCAUUGCGUGGUUUUGCACAGAGGAGCACUGAAGAAAUUCUGUAACCCAAAUUGGUCUUUGCUUUGACUCAUUAGCUGAGGCUUACGAGUACAUCAAUCUAUAUUCAUGGGAAGUUGGGUUUGGCAUUCGUUAUAGCAGAAGCAAAAGCUAUAAGUGCAAAUCUGGUCCUAAGAAGGAUGUCGUGUACCAAACACUGCAGUAUAUUGUUUGUGGAUGCGAGGUAUAUUUUUU